rfam:Gossypium raimondii Chr04_contig_1271, whole genome shotgun sequence.
UGUUAAAUUUUUUUUAUUUGUAUUGUUAAAAAUUGGUGUAGCUAAUAGAACAAUUAGACAUUGACGUAUGGCGUGUCAUAUGUACCUCAUAUUAACAUACAUAGGCUCGUUUUUAACAGUAAAAAUUGAUAAACAUUUUAAUA